rnacentral:rRNA from 1 species
UCGAGAAUCUUCGGCAAUGUGCGCAAGCACGACCGAGCGACGCCGCGUGGGCGACGAAGGCCUUCGGGUUGUAAAGCCCUGUCGAGGGGGAGAAAAGGGCGACCUUGAUCCAUCCCUGGAGGAAGCACGGGCUAAGUUCGUGCCAGCAGCCGCGGUAAGACGAACCGUGCGAACGUUGUUCGGAAUCACUGGGCUUAAAGGGCGCGUAGGCGGGCGGCCGCGUCCGGGGUGAAAUCCCCCCGCUCAACGGGGGAACGGCCUCGGGUACGGGCGGCCUCGAGGGAGGUAGGGGCGUGCGGAACUGUGGGUGGAGCGGUGAAAUGCGUUGAGAUCCACAGGAACUCCGGUGGCGAAGGCGGCACGCUGGGCCUACCCUGACGCUGAGGCGCGAAAGCCAGGGGAGCGAACGGGAUUAGAUACCCGGGUAGUCC